rnacentral:rRNA from 1 species
GACAGAGGGUGCAAACGUUGCUCGGAAUUACUGGGCGUAAAGCGCGUGUAGGCUGACCGGAAAGUCGGGCGUGAAAUCCCUGGGCUCAACCCAGGAACUGCACUCGAAACUCCCGGUCUUGAGUGGUGGAGAGGGAAGUGGGAAUUCCUGGUGUAGAGGUGAAAUUCGUAGAUAUCAGGAGGAACACCAGUGGCGAAGGCGGCUUCCUGGACACCAACUGACGCUGAGACGCGAAAGCGUGGGGAGCAAACAGG